ACAGACAGAGAGGCAGACAGACAGAGGAACAUAAAUAAAUGGUAGAAGAGAGACGAAAACAGAGACCAAGAGAGGAGGGCAAAGGGAGAGAGACACACACAUAUUUCAGCUGGUGUAAGCCCACCAGCAGUCACACACACCCCCACACACACACACACUGUACAGAGUGAAGGACGGACAGAUGACAAGGGAGUUGCGAGGUGCACAGAACAAAGAUAGACGGAUCGAGAGAGAGAGAGAGAGAGAGGGAGAAAGAGAGAUAGAGUGACAGAGACAGGGAGGAAGAGCGAGAGAGGGGGGGCACUGUAAACUACAGGAAGCCCCAGUGUCAAACAAACAGGGGACAGUGGCUAGAAGAGCUCCACUCCAGAACCAGCCACCAGCCUCCAGUCUCCAUGGACUCCAGGGAGUCGCAGCGCCGCUGAACCCAGGCCCUCCUCUGCUGGACAGCAUGUCGGCGGGCCCGGGACCUCGUGACUUAGACCUACUGCUGUUGGAUCUCCAGGCCCCAGGGCCGGUUGGACUGCAGACACUGUUGGACCUGCUAGUGGGGGUGUACCAAGAGUUCCGCUCCUCACCCCUUGCCAGGGAGAAGUACGUCUCGGGCUUCCUGCAAUGGGCGGAGCCCCUGGUGAGGCAGGUGAAGAAGACGCGCAUCAAGAGGGAUGACUUCCACAUCUUGAAGGUGAUUGGUCGAGGGACCUUCAGUGAGGUGGCUGUGGCGAGGAUGCGUAGCACACAGCAAGUGUACGCCCUGAAGAUUAUGAAUAAGUGGGACAUGCUGAAGCGAGGAGAGACAGCUUGUUACCAGGAGGAGAGAGAGGUUCUGCUGAAGGGUGAUCGACGGUGGAUCACAGAGCUGCACUAUGCCUUCCAGGACGACAAUUACCUGUACCUGGUGAUGGACUACUACGUGGGUGGUGACCUGUUGACCCUGCUCAGUAAGUUUGGCGACCGUAUCCCUGAGGACAUGGCCCAGUUCUACUUGGCUGAGAUGGUCAUGGCCAUCGACUCCAUCCACAGGAUGGGCUAUGUGCACAGGGACAUCAAACCUGACAACAUCAUGCUGACGGCAGAGGGCCACGUCAGGCUGGGGGACUUUGGUUCCUGUCUGAGGGUCCAAGAGGAUGGCAUGGUGCACUCUUCCCUGGCGGUGGGCACACCCGACUACCUGUCCCCAGAGAUCCUGCGUGCGGUGGAGGGAGGGGGAGGCUAUGGCCCUGAGUGUGACUGGUGGGCCCUGGGGAUCUGUGCCUAUGAGAUGCUGCAGGGGACCACACCCUUCUACGCAGAGUCCAUCUCUGAGACCUACGCCAAGAUCAUGAACUUCCAGGAGCACUUUGAGUUCCCCCCGUCUGGCCCCGAGGUUUCAGAUGAGGCCCGUUCCCUCAUCAUGGGGCUGAUCUGCGAGAGGGAGGAUCGUAUGGGAGCCAGGGGUUCUGGGGACUUUAGGGCCCACCCCUUCUUCUGUGGACUAGACUGGGGCUCCCUGCAUGAACUUCCAGCACCCUUCCAACCUGAAGUCUCCAACGCCACUGACACCUCCAACUUUGACGUGUUGGACGACUGCCUCAGUGAAAUGGAAACACUGAGUGAUGUUAUGGACAAGGCCCCUAUCGGAGUUCACCUGGCUUUCGUUGGCUACUCCUACACAGCUACAAGACAGACAGGUGCCUUGGAUCGCAGUCGUGACAUCAUGAUGGAGAUUGACCACCAGCGACACCAUGGGUUGCCAAGCUUCAAUUUCCAGGAUAAGCUGAGUCAGAUGUGGAAGCUCAGAGAUGUCCUGACAACGCCUGACAACCUGCCUGCCCUGCUUGAGCUCCCCCUAGCAUUGGAGCAGGGUACUGCAGAGUCCACUCACACAACGACAGAGGAGGAAGAGGAGGAGAAGGACCAGAAUUCAGUACUUGAUGAGGAUCUGCACAGGCGGCUGCAGGAGGCAGAGAAGAGGAACGGAGAGCUGGAGAAAGAGAUGGAGAGACUGAGGGGGGAGAUCCAGGGCCUGAAGUCCCCCAAGGAGACAGAACUGCGUGUCUGCCCUUCGUCUCUUUCUCUGCCUGCCCACUGUCUGGACGAUGCAAGUGCGGCAUGCUGUGCUGUGCUGUGCUGUGACUCGCACACAUAAAAGACUGCAUCUGUACCCUGGCCUGCAAUCCUGUUCAGUUCCUGACUAUGAGUGUGUUUCAGGGGAAGAGUUCGCCCCCUGCCUGUCACUACCCGCUGGUGAUCCCUCUCCACCGCCACCUGCUGCUGUUUCACAGGGUGCGCUGGCCACAGGAGAGAAG